rnacentral:rRNA from 1 species
AGAGUUUGAUCGUGGCUCAGAUUGAACGCUGGCGGCAUGCCUUACACAUGCAAGUCGAACGGUAACAGGUUAAGCUGACGAGUGGCGAACGGGUGAGUAAUAUAUCGGAACGUGCCCAGUCGUGGGGGAUAACUACUCGAAAGAGUAGCUAAUACCGCAUACGACCUGAGGGUGAAAGCGGGGGAUCGCAAGACCUCGCGCGAUUGGAGCGGCCGAUAUCAGAUUAGGUAGUUGGUGGGGUAAAAGCUCACCAAGCCAACGAUCUGUAGCUGGUCUGAGAGGACGACCAGCCACACUGGGACUGAGACACGGCCCAGACUCCUACGGGAGGCAGCAGUGGGGAAUUUUGGACAAUGGGCGCAAGCCUGAUCCAGCCAUGCCGCGUGCGGGAAGAAGGCCUUCGGGUUGUAAACCGCUUUUGUCAGGGAAGAAAAGGUUCUGGCUAAUACCCGGGACUCAUGACGGACCUGAAGAAUAAGC